rnacentral:rRNA from 1 species
AACGAACGCUGGCGGCAGGCUUAACACAUGCAAGUCGAGCGCCCCGCAAGGGGAGCGGCAGACGGGUGAGUAACGCGUGGGAACGUACCCUUAUCUUCGUGAUAGCUCCGUGAAACUGGAAUUAAUACCGAAUGUGCCCUUUGGGGGAAAGAUUUAUCGGAUAAGGAUCGGCCCGCGUUGGAUUAGCUAGUUGGUAGGGUAAAGGCCUACCAAGGCGACGAUCCAUAGCUGGUCUGAGAGGAUGAUCAGACACAUUGGGACUGAGACACGGCACAAACUCCUACGCGAGGCAGCAGUGGGGAAUAGUGGAAAAUGGGCGCAAGGCUGAUCCAGCCAGGACGCGUGAGUGAUGAAGGCAUUAGGGUUGUAAAGCGCUUUUACCGGAGAAGAUAAUGACGGUAUCCGGAGAAGAAGCCCCGGCUAACUUCGUG